GUGCGUAAUAGCUCACUAGUCGAGUGACCCUGCGCCGAAAAUGUACCGGGGCUAAACAUAUUACCGAAGCUGUGGACUACACCAUUAGGUGUAGUGGUAGGAGAGCGUUCUAAGGGCGUUGAAGGUCGAUCGUGAGGACGGCUGGAGCGCUUAGAAGUGAGAAUGCCGGUAUGAGUAGCGAAAGACAGGUGAGAAUCCUGUCCACCGUAUGACUAAGGUUUCCUGGGGAAGGCUCGUCCGCCCAGGGUUAGUCGGGACCUAAGCCGAGGCCGAUAGGCGUAGGCGAUGGACAACAGGUUGAUAUUCCUGUACCAGUUGUUUUUGUUUGAGCAAUGGAGGGACGCAGUAGGCUAAGGAAUGCAUGCGAUUGGAAGUGCAUGUCCAAGCAAUGAGUCUUGAGUAGAGUUAAAUGCUUUACUCUCUAAGGACAAGUUGUGACGGGGAGCGAAAUAAUAGUAGCGAAGUUCCUGAUGUCACACUGCCAAGAAAAGCUUCUAGUGAGAAAACAACUGCCCGUACCGUAAACCGACACAGGUAGUCGAGGAGAGUAUCCUAAGGUGAGCGAGCGAACUCUCGUUAAGGAACUCGGCAAAAUGACCCCGUAACUUCGGGAGAAGGGGU
rnacentral:rRNA from 1 species